rnacentral:rRNA from 1 species
GUCUAAGUACAAGCUUCCUAGAAAGUGAAACCGCAUAAGGCUCAGUAUAACAGCUAUAAUUUACAAGAUCCUCAUCCAAACAGUUACUUGGAUAACUGUGGAAAAGCCAGAGCUAAUACAUGCAUUAUGCCGGGACUGUUGGCCUCCGGGUCGGCGGAACUGGUGCACUUAUUAGUUAAACCAAUCGCCUCCGGGCGCUUUGAGUUGAAAUCUGGAUAAGGAUGCCGAUCGUACGGUCGCUUGCGACUGACGACAGAUCUUUCAAAUGUCUGCCCUAUCAACUAUUGAUGGUAGUGUAGAGGACUACCAUGGUUGCGACGGGUAACGGGGAAUCAGGGUUCGAUUCCGGAGAGGGAGCCUGAGAAAUGGCUACCACAUN